AGACGAUUCCGCGUCUGUCAAACGGCCGAGGAUUUAUGACCCUCGAUUGCCGUCUGGGAGCGGACCCUCGAUUACUUUAUGGCAACCCACGCCCAAUAAGAUCAAAGCGUAGGAUGAUUAAUUGCAGUCCUAAUAGUACAAAGCAAUGCACACUGGAAGCAAAAAAAAAAAAAAAAAAAGUACACUCUGGAUUUGCGGUACUGUAGAUGAUUCCGCUUCAGUGAAUGAUUUAUGACCCUUCAUUUAUUUAUAGCAUCCCACCGCAGUAACGCUGUCAAAGAGCAAAGGUAGAUUGAUGAAUUACAGUCUUAAAACUAUGCCUGGACGUUAUCAAAUAUUGGUCUGGGAUAUUAGUACAUCCUAGGGGGAUUCAUGACUGUCAUAAAACUACAAGAAGACUGCACACACAAAUGAAAACUUUAAGAAAUAAAAUGUACGUCUGGGUGUUUUAUGAUCGGCUGUCGUCGAAAGAUCAAAAACGAGAACGCUACGUGACCGUCGUAAGACUCGUGGAAUGCACACCUGGGGGGGUCAUAAAAUCUUUGUCCUGGAUUUUAUGACCUGCGGUUUUUACAAGAUCAAGGGAUGGAAUAACUAAUGGCAUCAUGGAAGGCACACCUGGGAAACAAUCAAAUCAACAACUGGCGUUUUAUGACCUCCUGUCGGGGGGCAUCAAUCCAACUGCUUCAACGAGAACUGAGACCCGUCCCGGCUGCUUCGGGACGCGCAGGCAAAUCAGGAAAACGGGAUUUUGAAGGCAAUCUGGUGAAAAAGUGACGCGCUUCCGACUUUUUGGCUCCAUUCCAACCCCCCCCCCCCCCUCAGCAGCAACACGAAGACGACGCAGAGCUGGAGUUUUCCGCAGGGGUACCGCCGCCUCCUCCGAGUUGGUGGGCGGAUCCUGCAUUACUGCACUGACUCCGUUUACAGCGCAGCGAGAUCUUCUCCCCCGAGUCUGCGGGUAGCACGAAGAUGAGGAGUGUCAUGGAGGACAGGAGCAUGCAGGGGAUGAGCAGGUUGAGGGCGUAGUAGAGCGUCCUGCGCCGUAUGGUCACCGCGAAGGUCACGUCCGGGUACGGCUCCUUACAGCAAUCGUAGAAAACCUCGUUCCGGGCGCCGGGCACGCCUAAAAGGUGGUUGCAUGUGCAGCAUGUAAAAGGGCUGACCUAUGAGGUCCCACUCGCCGUUGGGCAUGUAGCCCGAGACGUCGGCGUCGUUCAUCUGGAGGUCGAGCAGCCAGCCGUCGUACGUCCACGAGCCGAACUU